GAAGUCAGACGCUUAACCGCUGCGCCACCCAGGCGCCCCUAGAAGAUGUUUAUAGGAAGGAGGGUGGGGCAAGAGAGUUAUUAGCAAAAGAACAGAGAAUUGUUUCAGGAAAAAGUAUAAACAUUGGAUUAGAAAGACCAACUAAACUUCUGACGGUGAAGAGCUGCGUGAUAUUGAGUUUGGCCUUUUCUGCGACAGCCAGAUUUAGGAGCGACAGUCCCAGGUUUCUCUUACAAAUGCUCUCACAGACUGAGUGUCUCGGAAUGCCUGGCUAGAAGAUGUCAUAUCAGCCGAUCUGCAAUAGUCAGCAGGACCUCCCUUGUCAACACGAAAGUGGGAACAGAGAAAGAUCGCGUCAGGCAAGAGUGUUGCAUCGAAAUCCACAAAAAUGACUCUGAGAGGAAACCAGCGUAGACAAUAUUUCCAUCAGGAAUCCUAAGUACCUUGGGUACUAUUUGUUGUUGAAUGCUGAGGGGCUCUGGAGAGGUUGGGACUAUUUCUGAAUAAAUGAAUGAAUAUUCCUGGAAACUAGCUAUCUCUUUGUUAUGACAAGUCUUCAGUAAGAGACUGGGAAAUCAUCUUGUAUGAUGUGGAUCGGGAGAAUCAUCUCUGGAUCUGGAAGUUAUUGGGUAACUACUUGUGAGCGGGGAGACUUUGGGAAAAGGGCAUUCUCCUUCAGUUUCAUUUUUCUCCUUGAUGUGAAGCUGGGAUUCAAACAAUUGCUGUCUCCUUCACAAUAUUUUUUUUACUGGGACCAAAUAAUUUUGUUUUUUUAUUUAUAAAGUCACUGUGCAAUGUAAGCAUAUAGAGAUAUUUCUGUUGGAGAAUAUUUCUUUGUUUGAGAGAAUGGCUCAUUAGUUUCUUUCUUUCUUUUUUUCCCCCAAUAGUUUCUUGAUUUAGCACUGAUGGCUUUUGGUAAAUUGCCACGAGGUAAAAAGUAUACUUAGUAUCAGUACAGUCUUUCCCUUCAUGUGUACUAUACAUAAUAAUGUUCCUAUGUCAUUAUUUAGCAGGCCACAACUAUUCGUAUCAAGGUUAAUGAACUCUGAAUUAUGUCACGAUGCCAAGCCUAGUAACAUACUGCAUAGCAUUUGUUUUUGGCAAUAAAUUAUUGUACAAUGUGCUCCAGGCAAUGUGUGGUAAAGCUUCUAUAGCUGGUUUAUUGUCUGAAUGUUUGGUCUUGCUUGUUUCAUUCAUUCGAAAAAUAUUAAGAUCCUUUUGUAAUAAGAUGUCCAGACUUUAGUAUAUCAAUUUGAAAACAUAUAAGGAUAUAGUACAGCGAGAUCAGUAGAGUUGUCACCAGCAAAUAUUGAUUAGUUGUAUUUUGGGGGGACUUAAGUGUUUUGAGGAUAAAAUUGUUGAGUAAGGAAUUAAAAUUCAAUAAGAAGAUGGAGGCUUAUGUUGAUAAAUGCUCCAGAGGAGGUUAAAUAAUACCAAGAUCUGUUUAGUACCCAGGCAGUAAGCCACCCUUGGUGACCUACUGAGAGUACUAGCUUUAAAGUGCUAAUAGGGGAUGGAAUGCAAACUGAAAUUAAUUGAAAAAACUAAUAGGUAAGAGGAAGUCCACCUUCUGGGCACAGCCCACAUUUGAAGAAGUUUCAUUGGGAAGGAAAGCAGGGAGGUAGAGUGAAUGCUGGACCAGCCGCAGGGUUAAGGACUAAUGCCUAAAAUAUUGAUGGAAACUUGAAGGUCUGUGAACCCAUGUUUUUCCUACAUACGUCCUCCCAAUUCUUAACAUUGUACCUGGAGCCAGCUACAUAAUUUGAAGGCUCAGUGCAAACUGAAAUUGUGAUACCCCUUGUUUAA